AUUGAACGCUGGCGGCAGGCCUAACACAUGCAAGUCGAACGAGUGGCGGACGGGUGAGUAAUGUCUGGGAAACUGCCUGAUGGAGGGGGAUAACUACUGGAAACGGUAGCUAAUACCGCAUACCAUCAGAUGUGCCCAGAUGGGAUUAGCUUGUUGGUGGGGUAACGGCUCACCAAGGCGACGAUCCCUAGCUGGUCUGAGAGGAUGACAAGCCACACUGGAACUGAGACACGUCCCAGACUCCUAGGGGGGGAAGCAGUGGGAAAUAUUGCACAAUGGGCGAAAGCCUGAGGCAGCCAGGCCGCGUGUAUGAAGAAGGCCUUCGGGUUGUAAAGUACUUUCGGCGGGGAGACGUUACCCGCAGAGGAGGCACGGGCAAACUCCGUGCCAGCCGCCGCGGUAAAC
rnacentral:rRNA from 1 species